rnacentral:rRNA from 1 species
GUCCGACCGGCUCGCCGCUCCAUGCCGCGGCAACGCCGGCGAUAAGGAUGAGCCCUCCCCACUCGGCCUUGUCCUCGUCACCCACUCACCCCUCGCCCCCUCGCGCUCUCUCCCUCUCCCACACCCUCGCCCCCUCUCCAGAUUUCCCAUCGCCAGAACAUAGUCGUCGCCGUGCCAUCGUCGCCGUCGUGACCACCGGCAUCCUCGCGUUGCCUGCUGGCGUGCGGGAGGUCCGCCGUGGGCUACUUCCCGCUCCUCACCGCUGGAUCGAGUCUACGGAGCUAAAUCGGCGCCGCCUGUGCGUCUUCUUCCUCGGCAUCAUCGGACCUCGCCGAUUCGCCGCGGCCGAUUUGCUCCCCCCUGCGCUACUAAGCCCCCGAGGGACCUCCGUGCGUCCACACGACCCUGAGACCGAUGCUGCCCUUGUGAUCGACUACGUCGAUGACGACCCCUCCUUGCCAGAGCAACCAG